CCCCUAGUAACUGCGAGUGAAGCGGGAAAAGCUCAAAUUUAAAAUCUGGCAGUCUUUGGCUGUCCGAGUUGUAAUCUAGAGAAGUGUUAUCCGCGCUGGACCGUGUACAAGUCUCCUGGAAUGGAGCGUCAUAGAGGGUGAGAAUCCCGUCUUUGACACGGACUACCAGGGCUUUGUGAUGCGCUCUCAAAGAGUCGAGUUGUUUGGGAAUGCAGCUCAAAAUGGGUGGUAAAUUCCAUCUAAAGCUAAAUAUUGGCGAGAGACCGAUAGCGAACAAGUACCGUGAGGGAAAGAUGAAAAGAACUUUGGAAAGAGAGUUAAACAGUACGUGAAAUUGCUGAAAGGGAAACGCUUGAAGUCAGUCGCGUUAUCCAGGGAUCAGCCUUGCUUUUGCUUGGUGCACUUUCUGGUUGACGGGUCAGCAUCAAUUUUGACUAUUGGAAAAAGAUCAGGGGAAUGUGGCAUCUUCGGAUGUGUUAUAGCCCUUGGUUGUAUACAAUGGUUGGGAUUGAGGAACUCAGCACGCCGCAAGGCCGGGUUUACACCACGUACGUGCUUAGGAUGCUGGCAUAAUGGCUUUAAUCGACCCGUCUUGAAACACGGACCAAGGAGUCUAACAUGCCUGCGAGUGUUUGGGUGGAAAACCCGAGCGCGUAAUGAAAGUGAAAGUUGAGAUCCCUGUCGUGGGGAGCAUCGACGCCCAGACCAGACCUUUUGUGACGGUUCUGCGGUAGAGCAUGUAUGUUGGGACCCGAAAGAUGGUGAACUAUGCCUGAAUAGGGUGAAGCCAGAGGAAACUCUGGUGGAGGCUCGUAGCGAUUCUGACGUGCA
rnacentral:rRNA from 1 species